rnacentral:piRNA from 1 species
UGCUGUGCUAGGGUAUCCAUCCAGACC